ensembl:snRNA U6 U6 spliceosomal RNA
GCACUUACUUCACUAGCACAUAUACUAAAAUUGGAAUAAUACAGAGAAGAUUAGCAUGGUCCCUGUGCAAAGAUGCCAUGCAAAUUUGUGAAGUAUUCCACACUUUU